UGAGUAACACGUGGGUAACCUGCCCUAAAGUGGGGGAUAACAUUUGGAAACAGAUGCUAAUACCGCAUAAACCUAACACCGCAUGGUGUAGGGUUGAAAGAUGGUUUCGGCUAUCACUUUAGGAUGGACCCGCGGUGCAUUAGUAGUUGGUGAGGUAAAAGGCUCACCAAGACCGUGAUGCAUAGCCGACCUGAGAGGGUAAUCGGCCACACUGGGACUGAGACACGGCCCAGACUCCUACGGGAGGCAGCAGUAGGGAAUCUUCCACAAUGGACGAAAGUCUGAUGGAGCAACGCCGCGUGAGUGAAGAAGGUUUUCGGAUCGUAAAACUCUGUUGUUGGAGAAGAAUGUAUCUGAUAGUAACUGAUCAGGUAGUGACGGUAUCCAACCAGAAAGCCACGGCUAACUACGUG
rnacentral:rRNA from 1 species